rnacentral:rRNA from 1 species
AGAAUCAACGCUGGCGGCGUGCCUAACACAUGCAAGUCGCACGAGAAAGCGGAGCAAUCCGUGAGUAAAGUGGCGCACGGGUGAGUAACACGUGAAUAAUCUACCUCCGAGUGGGGAAUAACUGAGAGAAAUCGUUAGCUAAUACCGCAUAACACUUACGAGUCAAAGCAGCAAGUGCGCUUGGAGAGGAGUUCGCGGCCGAUUAGUUAGUUGGCGGGUAAUGGCCCACCAAGCGGAUGAUCGGGUA